CGAGUCACCCAGGCAUCCCUACUUUAGGCUUUGAAUGUUUAUAUUUUUUGUGGCUUCAUUUUUUUUUUUUUUAACUCCAGAUUGCUUCUGGUUCUUCAGUUAUUCAUCUCGUGUGUGUGUGUGUGUGUGUGUGUGUGUGUUUUAAAGAAUCUCUUUGCCUGAUGUGGGGCUUGAACUCAUGACCCCCAGAUCAAGAGUUGCAUAUUCUGGGCAAGCAUGCCACCCACAUUAUUCUUCAAACCAAACCUUAUGAACUAUUUUUGCAUCCAUGCCCUGUACUAGUUCUCAAGAAGACAAAAGAGCCCUCACAGAGCUCAAGGUCCAUUGGAAAAUGUAUCCUCUGUUUCCCCCACGUUGAUGUGGGCUCCCAUGAAGACAGGAGAGUGUGAAGAGCAGGCAAAUCGGGGUUCGCCCCCUGACAAAUUCAGGUCUUUUUUUUUUUCCUUCCCAAAUUAGGAUUCCACCUGGUGGUCAUAGCUAGGAAAACAUUCAGGGAAAGGACAUGGAAGUGAUGGAAGAAACAGCAUCUUUUGCUCUUAGGCGUUCUCCAUCCCCUCCCUGUAAACUACCUAGAAUCGUUUCUGUGUAUAUUUUCUCUUUGGGGGAAGGGGUGCCCCGGAUUCUCUGGGAGUCAGGGCCCCAAUUACUAAGAAGAAGCUUUCUACCUCCCCCAGUUCCUGGAUUCUUGUCCCAUCUCUCCCUCUAACGCUCUUUCAAAUUCUGGAGUCCUUGAGGUUGCUUCUGACCAAUCCUGUCCAUCACUUCUCUCCCUGGACUUUAGCUCCUGCUUCCUAGUGUGGGAGCGGUUCCAGGCUUGUUGACCUCAACCAUAGGCAAGUCGCUUGCCAUUUCUAAGCCCCAGUCCCAUCAUCUGCGGAAUAGAAAGUGGAGUCUGCAGGGUUCCUGGAAUGGAUUAGUUUCGGGUGUCACUUAAUCCAGGAGGCCCUUCCGUAAUCAGAGUCUUCGGUCGCAGUGGUGCUAUAAAUGCACACAAGUAGCUCAGCUCACCGAGACCACAGGAUGGAGAGGGGGGCCGCAGCCAAGCUGCUGUUGCUGGUGCUGCUGUGGGGCACCUGCUGCAGAAAUGCACAAGCUGACCACCUGAGUGACUACACGUCGGUCAUCGAGGUGACCAAUGGGGGACCUUGGGGCGACUGGGCCUGGCCGGAGAUGUGUCCUGAUGGAUUCUUUGCCAGUGGGUUCUCGCUCAAGGAAGAGCCCCCCCAAGGCAUCUCCAGAGAUGACACGGCUUUGAACGGGAUUCGACUGCACUGCUCACGGGGGAAUGCGGAGCGCAACACGCAGGUGGUGGAGUCCCAGUCUGGAAGGUGGGGCUCAUGGAGUGAGCCCCUGUGGUGCCCUGGCGGUGGCUUUCUGGUGGCUUUCUCGCUGAGGGUGGAGGCGCGCCAGACCCUCGGGGACAACACGGCUGCCAACAACGUACGCUUCCGCUGCUCCGACAGCACGGAGCUGGAGAGGCCCGGCCUGGCCUGGGGUGACUUUGGGAAAUGGAGUAAGCCCUGCCCCAAAGGCGUGUGCGGUCUGCAGACCAAGGUGGAGCCCCCGAUGGGCCUCCAGGAUGACACCGCCCUCAACGACGUGCGCUUCUUCUGCUGCCGCAGUUAAGGAGGUCGCCGGCCCCCCGCCAGUCCCACCGCGCUCGCUCCCUAUUAUAGCUUCUCUGUCUCUGCUGUGGUCUCGCUUGUUUUAGAGAAGACACCGAGGGUGGCGUUCACCAGCUGUAUCCCGCACAGCACGACCUCCAGACACGAGGCGGCCACCAGCAGCGAGAAGAGAGUCACAUUCCAGGAGACCACACCUGGUGGCUCCACGCACAAGUCCCACAAAGUAUGGUUGAGCAGCAAAUGGGUCCGAUUCGGAGCCCGGCUCCUGACACUGACAGGCAGUAGAUGGCACCCAGCACCCCGAAGGCCGAGGAGAAGAUGGAGCGCAGCAUCUGGAUGCGCCAUGGAAGGAGAAGUGAGCAGGCCGCCUCUCCCGCGCCUGCACCUUACCUCGCAGGGCUCCCGACGCAUGCAAAAUACAUCUCCCUGAGCAUCUGGGGAGCUCAGUCCAUUAAGCAUCUGCUUUCGACUGGGGUCAUGGUCGUGGGUCCUGGGGUCGAGCUCCCAGUGGUGCUUCCUGCUUAGCGAGGAGCCUGCUUUUCCCUCUCCAUCUGCCCCCUUUCGUGCUCCCGUGCUCGUUCUCUCUCUCUCAAAUAAAUGAAUAAAAUCUUAAAAAAACAAAACAAAACAAAAAACCCUCCCUGCAAACCCGGGGGCUGGGCCUUAGCUGCUCCUGGAGCCAGAGGCUGCGGAGGUCGGUCGGAAGUUGUAGCGCCCCUCUGUAUGUCCACUGAGGCCAAGUGCAGGGGCGUAGCUGGGACUCUGAGGAGGAGCUCCCGCAGCUGGUGGGGGACCGUGGCCACAGGUGUGGCUCUGCGAAGAUCCAUGCAGAGGGUCUUCCCAAUCCCGCCCUCGUUUGAAUCUUACCCUGCAGCGAUUUCCGCAGCAGCCCACGCCGCAGCAGCCCUUGCCCCCUGCGCGAACAGCCGCGAUGCCGGGACAUAGCACCUGUAGAGGAGGAUCAGUAUGACAGCCAGGCCCCCCGCCGCUCCCCACAUCCUCCACACCUUACUGCAGGGGCGUCACGGCCGCUAGUCUCCCCCUGGAGCUGCCUGGGAUGCCAUCAGCCCUUUGGACUGUAGGAAGGCCUUAUCUCCCUGACUCCUGGAGCGCGCUUCCCUCCUGCCUUUACUUAUAUCAUCAUUGACGUGCCUACUUAUCUGCAGCCUCCAAGAGGGUAGGGCCCAAUGUACGAUAUCCUCCAUAGAUCUUGGCGCCUGGUAGGUGCCCAGCUGAACCGUAGUCAGAGGGCCUGGGGUCAAUUAAUGCCAACCCUGUGCUCACUUCACACUCUAGGGAUGGCCUCAUCUCUCUGGGUCUUCAAAACCCACCUCACAGGGCUGUUCUCAGGAUUUAAUGAAAUGCCAGAUCGACUUCAGGUCAAGACUGGCUCAGUACAUGCUCAAUAACAAUAAAUCUCCGUGGCAGAAAGGAAUAAUGGUGUUGGAGUGUCUGGUGAGCUGGGAUUAUGUGGAGCGGAUGGGGAGAAUGUUGGUGAAUGCCCUGAUGGGCAGUGCAGGGACCCCCAACCUACAAUCUUGGUCCUUUUUUUAAAAAAAAAAUUAUUUAUUUAUUC